AUAUCAGUCAUGCAUAGCAUAUCAAUAAGCGGAGGAAAAGAAACUAACAAGGAUUCCCUUAGUAACGGCGAGUGAAGCGGGAAGAGCUCAAAUUUGAAAUCUUCAAGAUUUUACCUUGACGAAUUGUAGUUUAAAGAAGUGUUUUCUGUUGAAGUUUUGGUAAAAGUUCUUUGGAAUAGGACAUCAUAGAGGGUGAGAAUCCCGUAUUUGACCAUUACUUUCAGCUUUGUGAUACACUUUCAAAGAGUCGGAUUGUUUGGGAAUGCAGUCCAAAAUGGGUGGUAAAUUUCAUCUAAAGCUAAAUAUUGGCGAGAGACCGAUAGCGAACAAGUACCGUGAGGGAAAGAUGAAAAGAACUUUGAAAAGAGAGUUAAACAGUACGUGAAAUUGUCAAAAGGGAAGCGUUUGACACCAGUGUUGUUUUCUCGAAAAUCAAUUAAAAAGAGUUGGAUUUUGUGUUGUAUUGACUUUAUCAGCUUUCUUCACUCUUUUCCAGCUUUUUUUAAUGCACUUUUCGUUUAACAAGUCAACAUCAGUUUCUUUUGUUGUAAAAAGGUCAUUGGAAGGUGGCUUUCUCUUCGGAGAAAGUGUUUAUAGCCUUUGACUCAUGCAAUCGGAGAGACUGAGGUCUGCAGCGUAGAUCCUUCGGGGUUAGAUACAUUUGUGCUAAGUUAUAGCUUUUCAUAGACAACUUGUUGACUAUGUUUAGUCUUGUAGCUUACUCGCUUAUGCUAUUUUACCUACGCUUAGGAUGUUGAACUCUAUCACACACAG
rnacentral:rRNA from 1 species